rnacentral:ncRNA from 1 species
AUGUGAAAGGCAAACCAGCCGCGAGACUGGGACGCAAAACUACAGGGUCUCUGACCGUUGUAUUCUGACGAAUUGCGAUAGAUCGGUUAUACAGGGGAGAGAGACAGCCAGCUGCCA